rnacentral:rRNA from 1 species
AGCGGCGUACGGGUGAGUAACACGUAGGCAUCCACCUCUUAGUGGGGAUUAACUUGGGGAAACCUGAGCUAAUACCGCAUAAGUCCGAGAGGAGAAAGCAGCAAUGCGCUGAGAGAGGAGCCUGCGGCCGAUUAGCUAGAUGGCGGGGUAAUGGCCCACCAUGGCGACGAUCGGUAGCCGGCCCGAGAGGGCACACGGCCACACUGGCACUGAAACACGGGCCAGACUCCUACGGGAGGCAGCAGUGGGGAAUCUUGCACAAUGGAGGAAACUCUGAUGCAGCGACGCCGCGUGGACGACGAAGCCCUUCGGGGUGUAAAGUCCUUUCGACCGGAACGAUAAUGACGGUACCGGUGGAAGAAGCUGCGGCUAACUACGUGCCAGCAGCCGCGGUAAUACGUAGGCAGCAAGCGUUGUUCGGAAUUACUGGGCGUAAAGAGUUCGUAGGCGGUGCGGUAAGUUCGGUGUGAAAUCUCCCGGCUCAACUGGGAGGGUGCGCUAAAUACUGCCGUGCUCGAGUAUAGGAGAGGAAAGCGGAAUUCCUGGUGUAGCGGUGAAAUGCGUAGAUAUCAGGAGGAACACCUGUGGUGUAGACGGCUUUCUGGACUAUAACUGACGCUGAGGAACGAAAGCGUGGGUAGCAAACAGGAUUAGAUACCCUGGUAGUCCACGCCCUAAACGAUGCAUACUUGGUGUGAGC